GGAUUGUGGCUCAGUGGUAGUGUGCUUGCCUUGCACGCGUGGGGCACUGGGUUCGAUCCUCAGCACCA
rnacentral:tRNA from 1 species